rnacentral:rRNA from 1 species
GUCGAACGCUCGUCUUCGGACGGGAGUGGCAGACGGGUGAGUAACACGUGGGAACGUACCCUUUGGUUCGGAAUAACGCAGGGAAACUUGCGCUAAUACCGGAUACGCCCUUUUGGGGAAAGGUUUACUGCCGAAGGAUCGGCCCGCGUCUGAUUAGCUAGUUGGUGGGGUAACGGCCUACCAAGGCGACGAUCAGUAGCUGGUCUGAGAGGAUGAUCAGCCACACUGGGACUGAGACACGGCCCAG